AUGGGGAAAGGAAAUCGAGACGAUAUGCUCAGCAACUUGCCUGACGACAUUUUGGUUAAUAUUCUUGAUAGACUCGAUGUCACAUACGCUGUCAGAACCAGCAUCCUCUCCAGACGGUGGAGUCGGCUUUCUACCAAGCUUUCUCGACUGACAAUAAGUGUUUUGGACUUCCUGCCUCACAAUGGGCCCAUAUUUGAAAUUGAUGAAGUGGUUCGGAGCAAUGCAGCUGUGGUUGAAGCAACCACGAGCAUCCUGGCACACAGGGAUUCUACCCGAAAAACCAUCCACCUACUGUCGAUGACUUUCUUCUUAAAAGACAGUGACCACAUAUCCAUUGGACAUGCUGUUGCCAAGACCAUGGCGACACACAAGGUUGAGAUGGCUGAAUUCAACAUUAUGACAGAGAGGGAUGCCACUCAGUGUGACGAUGAUAAUCUAGCCAGUUAUGGGAAGAAGUUCAUCUUAUUCUUUGAUGCUUUCCCAGAUGCAUUUGGUGGUCUCACACGCCUGCACCUUGAAAAUUUGAGAUUCGGUGAAUCGGACAUCACUAAUGUACUCAUCGUUUGUAAGCGAUUAAAGGAUCUACGUCUGAUGAAUUGUGAUUCUGGGGAAACGACCACACUGCAAGUAGAUCACUCCCAACUCAGUGACCUCACCAUCGGUGAUUGCCUUUUUGCAGAACUGCUGCUGAACUCUGUUCCAAAACUCACACGGUUGGCCUUUGAGGGUUGGAUCUCUUUUCAUUAUCCACUUUCAGUUGGCGAUGCCCCAUUACUUGAGGCCGUCAAACUCAAUAAUGUUGCUCUCAGUUGGCACAAGAUGGUUGAGUUAAGUAAGUUUCUUUGUGGUACCUCUGUGCGUGACCUGAAGUUGGGAUUUAAAUGUGAAAAAAUCUGGGUCCAACCAGAGUGCUUGACGAAAAGCCUGGCAUCUGUUUUUCGCCAACUAAGGUUUGUGAAUCUAGAUGAAAUUCCUGAAGGGUAUGAUCUGACCUGGACACUGUUCAUCCUUAAAGCUGCACCCCUCCUAAAGGAGCUAUACAUAACGGUGUGGGACCAUCUUUGUAAAAUGGUAACAGAUGAGGAGAAGAGGAAGGAACGCUUUAGCGAGGAGAAGGGUGUAGAGUGGGAAUCAUCUGCUUCUGACUUCCAUCAUGAGAAUCUGGUUACGCUUGUCAUGUUUGGCUUCCAAUCUGAAGAGUACAUGGUGAGCUAUAUCAGGCGUGUAAUGGAAGCAGCGGCGAAUCUGGAGGAGGUGUUCCUGUAUCAUAGGCUGGCUUGUAGGAAGUGCCUUGACAAUUCUCGAAAGCAGCCAUUCAAGUUCCCGUGGACCAAGAGGCAGAGAUUGUCAGUGAAGAAGAGAAUUACUGACGGGAUAGACUCGUUUGCCAUAAUUCAUUUCCCUACGACUGCUGGAUUAAGGUCUGACCAUAAGGCCAAAAAGAACUAUCCGUAG
rnacentral:rRNA from 1 species